rnacentral:rRNA from 1 species
GACGAACUGUGCAAACGUUAUUCGGAAUCACUGGGCUUAAAGGGUGCGUAGGCGGCCGUGUAAGUGUGGUGUGAAAUCUCCCGGCUUAACUGGGAGGGUGCGCUACAGACUGCAUGGCUAGAGUGUGGGAGAGGAAAGUGGAAUUCCUGGUGUAGCGGUGAAAUGCGUAGAUAUCAGGAGGAACACCGGUGGUGUAGACGGCUUUCUGGAACGCAACUGACGCUGAGACGCGAAAGCGUGGGGAGCAAACAGG